GGGCGGUUAGCUCAGGGGUAGAGCACUGCAUUCACACUGCAGGGGUCGCAAGUUCUGAAACUUGCACCGCCCACCA
rnacentral:tRNA from 2 species